rnacentral:tRNA from 1 species
UCCUUAUUAGCGCAGUUGGUAGCGCGUCAGUCUCAUAAUCUGAAUGUCAUGAGUUUAAUCCUUCCACAGGGCA